GAUGAAGAACGUAGUGAAAUGCGAUAAGUAAUGUGAAUUGCAGAAUUCAGUGAACCAUCGAAUCUUUGAACGCACAUUGCGCCCGGCAGUAAUCUGCCGGGCAUGCCUGUCCGAGCGUCAUUUCUCCCCUCGAGCGCAGCUUUCCCCCCCGGGGGAGGGCCGCGCCCGGUGUUGGGGCGCUACGGAGGAGCCCAGCGCUCCCCCGUAGGCCCCGAAAUGUAGUGGCGGUCCCGCCGCGGCGCCCCCUGCGUAGUAGUUUUACAACUCGCAUCGGGUCCCGGCGGAGGCCAGCCGUCAAACCCCCCAACUUAAAUAGUUUGACCUCGGAUCAGGUAGGGUUACCCGCUGAACUUAAGCAUAUCAAUAAGCGGAGGA
rnacentral:misc_RNA from 1 species